rnacentral:snRNA from 8 species
ACACUCAAGUCGAAGUUAGAUUUAAAUUCAUUAGCCUAGAUAUUGUCAGGGUGAGGCUCAUCCACUGUACUUGGGGUGUGCUGACCCCUGCGAUUUCCCCAAAUGUGGGAGACUCGACUGUGUUUUUUGGCUGCUGGCUGGAUUUAAACUGU